UACGUAGGGUGCAAGCGUUGUCCGGAAUUAUUGGGCGUAAAGAGCUCGUAGGCGGUCAGUCGCGUCUGCUGUGAAAACUCGGGGCUUAACUCCGGGCCUGCAGUGGGUACGGGCUGACUAGAGUGCGGUAGGGGAGACUGGAAUUCCUGGUGUAGCGGUGAAAUGCGCAGAUAUCAGGAGGAACACCGGUGGCGAAGGCGGUGGUCUGGUCGGUUUCUGACGCUGAGGAGCGAAAGCUAGGGGAGCAAACGGG
rnacentral:rRNA from 1 species